UCUUUAGGUCUUUAAGUGAUAUGUCUAACUUGCACGAUCAUGUAUACACAUAAGAUGUGAUCCGGGACUUGAUCAAAGAGUCUUCAAUACUCCUACAACAUCUCAAGUAAUUGUUGUAUGGGUCGAAGAUGAUGAAAAUGCCAAUGUUCAUGUUCGUGACAUUACUAUAUAUGGCCAUUCUGGUGAUUCAUAUAGAGUUCAUUAUUAUUAUGGUUGUUAUGAUCCUUUACUUUUUCCAUAUGAGGAAUCUGGUUGGCAUGAAGGCAUUCGAAGAUGUAGAAGCAUGUACUUUGAGCCUGAAUUCGUUGAAUUUCCAAGCACAGUUACCUCUGCAGCUGAAUUUAUCGAAAAAGAAAAUCAAGUGCUUAACGAAACAAAGAAACGGUCUCACGUUUCCCGUCGAGAAUAUUAUUUAUGAAAAUUGCAAAUUAGGCCUUUUGGUAAGUCUAUUUUGCUUCACGCUGGUAGAUUGUUUCAACAGUACGUUGUAGGUAUGUAUAUUAAGAUUGAAACUGUAAGGUUAGACUAUUUUUGUAACAACCAAAAGCAAAUUCGUGCUGAACUUUACCAAGGUAUUGUAGGCAGCGUUGAAAAUGGAGAAACAAGGGAUUACAAAAUUGGACGAAAAUUUGUUUUGCC